rnacentral:lncRNA from 1 species
UAUUUUUUUUGCUAGUAUAGUUUCAGUAGAUUCUCAAGGUGAAUUUUUGUAGACUUGAAAAGAGAAUAUAUCCUAGUACGUGUAAGACCCUGUGUUUGUUCCCAGUGCUGAAGAGAAAGAAGAGAGAUGCAAUAGAUGAUUUUAAAAAGUCCUAAUUAACAGUGGACAAACAAGAUCUUGAUUUUCAUUAAUAUUAAGGUAGAUGGAACUGUGAGACUAAAAAGUUAUGAAGUCAAAACACAUAAUGUAGCUUGUAGAUGCAUUUGGAAGUUGUAUCUGAAAUUCAGACCACAAAAUAUAAUGCUUCUUUUUAUGUAUAUUUUCAUAUUGAGGUUCCCAGACAUCAAGAUGACAAGUGGAAUAAUAUUUCCUUGGAACUAGUACAAUAUAACGAGACAGAAAAUUAUCUGCUUCUCUUAGGAAGUGCUACAGUACACCUUUAUGAAGUAAUUCAGAAAAUGUGUUUUACUGAAGAAUUACAAAUGUUGAAUGAAAACACAUGUGUCUGCAGGUUGGAUGUGGAGUUUAUGUUUGCAUAUGGA